rnacentral:rRNA from 1 species
UUGUUGGUGAGGUAAUGGCUCACCAAGGCGUCGACGGGUAGCUGGCCUGAGAGGGUGACCGGCCACACUGGGACUGAGACACGGCCCAGACUCCUACGGGAGGCAGCAGUGGGGAAUAUUGCACAAUGGGCGCAAGCCUGAUGCAGCAACGCCGCGUGAGGGAUGACGGCCUUCGGGUUGUAAACCUCUUUUAGCAGGGAAGAAGCGAAAGUGACGGUACCUGCAGAAAAAGCGCCGGCUAACUACGUGCCAGCAGCCGCGGUAAUACGUAGGGCGCAAGCGUUAUCCGGAAUUAUUGGGCGUAAAGAGCUCGUAGGCGGUUUGUCGCGUCUGCUGUGAAAUCCCGAGGCUCAACCUCGGGUCUGCAGUGGGUACGGGCAGACUAGAGUGCGGUAGGGGAGAUUGGAAUUCCUGGUGUAGCGGUGGAAUGCGCAGAUAUCAGGAGGGACACCGAUGGCGAAGGCAGAUCUCUGGGCCGUAACUGACGCUGAGGAGCGAAAGGGUGGGGAGCAAACAGGCUUAGAUACCCUGGUAGUCCACCCCGUAAACGUUGGGAACUAGUUGUGGGGUCCAUUCCACGGAUUCCGUGACGCAGCUAACGCAUUAA